UGGGGAAUAUUGCACAAUGGGCGCAAGCCUGAUGCAGCAACGCCGCGUGAACGAUGAAGGUCUUCGGAUCGUAAAGUUCUGUUGCAGGGGAAGAUAAUGACGGUACCCUGUGAGGAAGCCCCGGCUAACUACGUGCCAGCAGCCGCGGUAAUACGUAGGGGGCUAGCGUUAUCCGGAUUUACUGGGCGUAAAGGGUGCGUAGGUGGUCUUUCAAGUCGGUGGUUAAAGGCUACGGCUCAACCGUAGUUAGCCUCCGAAACUGGAAGACUUGAGUGAAGGAGAGGAAAGUGGAAUUCCCGGUGUAGCGGUGAAAUGCGUAGAUAUUGGGAGGAACACCAGUAGCGAAGGCGGCUUUCUGGACUGCAACUGACACUGAGGCACGAAAGCGUGGGUAGCAAACAGG
rnacentral:rRNA from 1 species